rnacentral:piRNA from 1 species
UAGUUCUCUAAAGACACGUAUGAAAUGUGC